rnacentral:rRNA from 1 species
AUUGAACGCUGGCGGCAGGCCUAACACAUGCAAGUCGAACGGUAACAGGAAGAAGCUUGCUUCUUUGCUGACGAGUGGCGGACGGGUGAGUAAUGUCUGGGAAACUGCCUGAUGGAGGGGGAUAACUACUGGAAACGGUAGCUAAUACCGCAUAACGUCGCAAGACCAAAGAGGGGGACCUUCGGGCCUCUUGCCAUCGGAUGUGCCCAGAUGGGAUUAGCUAGUAGGUGGGGUAACGGCUCACCUAGUCUUCGAUGGAUAGGGGUUCUGAGAGGAAGGUCCCCCACAUUGGAACUGAGACACGGUCCAA